GGGUUAGUCAUAAGUUACAUGAUGAAUUACCAUUUAAAAUAAAGUCAUUCUUGUCCCCACAAGUACAAGCAUUCACCAACAUCCAAUCCACUUCUUCUAGAGACAUGGAAGACUCCUGCCUGGAAUGUGGGCAGGGCCAUGUGAGUAGCUCUGGUCAGUGAAAUGUGAGUGCAUGUGGCUUAUAUCAUCACUUCUGGGCUGAGACAGUUAAAAGCCCACACAUGAUUCUUCAGUUUCUUUUCCUGUGCCACAGCAACCAAGAAGGUCACAUGUUCCAGAAGCUGCAGCUAUAAGCACAAGCGAAAAAUAAACUUCUGUGGUGCAAAGUCACUGAGAUUCAGGAGUUGUUGCCAAAGCGGAGCCGAGCUCAGUGGUUCCCAGUCUGGUCCCAGGCACCACGUAAGAUGUUCCUUUGCUCUUCCUUCAUCUUCCACCAUGAUUGUGAGGCCUCCCCAGCCAUGCUGAACUGGGGUAACCACCACAGGCCCACAGGCUAAAAUUGAGCUGGAGUAAGUGGCAACAGAGAGUAUUUAUUGUCCCCUAAGAGCCCUGGCCCUUGUAGGACAUGUGAAUGCCAGUGCUCAUGGAGAAAGGUGGAGGAAGAGAGCCAGAGUGCAGUUCACCUCUGGGAGAGCAGACCAGAGUGGCUUCCGUGGGCACAUGCUGGAUUGAAGUGAGAAGACGUGACUACUAAAGUUGAGGCCCCAAGUCUCAGCUUCUUCCCCCUCCAAAGCAUGAGUGGAGGAUUCACUUAAGGCCACUUUGGCUGCCACCAGUGCACCAUUGGCAGAAACAUUGGCAGAGUCCAGCUGGCAAGAGGGCCUCGUCAUCCCUGCAAGACAUAGCAGAGCAAGGGAAAGGUGCACCAUGAAUCCAAUAUGAUGGUAUCCUCAUAAGGAGAGGAGAAGAGACACAAAAACAGACACACCCUGGCAGAUCACUGUGUGACUACGGAAACAAGAGACUGAAGCAAUGUGUCUACAAGCCAAGGAACACCAUGAAUUGCUGGCAAUAACCCAAAACUACAAAGAGUCAAGGAAGGAAUCUUCCCUAGCACCUUCAGAGAGAACAUGACCCUGCUGACAUCUUGAUUUUGGAUCUCUAGCUCCCAGAACAGUGAGAUAAUAUGUUCUUUUAAGCCACCAAUUUGUGGUACCCUAGGAAACAAAUGAAUUUAUCACUAAGUUCAUGCAUACUUCUUCUCCCUAUGCAUAGCACGCCCCCCACACACCCCACCCCCCCCACUGCCUUUUUUCAGAUUCAAACCAUUGAUCUCACCCAUUGCAUUUCUGGCAUCAGGUGUCAGCUGGCUCAUUUUCUUUGAGGCAAAGUUCAUAUCCACUGGAUUCACACCUCAGUUGCCACAUGGGCUGCUUCUCUGCUCAGAAAUGCCAGGAGUUUUUAAAUAGUUCAUAAAAGGGACCCCCUUUUGACCUGACCCUCCCAGGUAAGUAUGCUGUCUUUGAGGACCACAGAAAGGUUCAAGAAUCUGGGUUUUCAGUCUCCACAUAGCUCUGGGCAAGUCUCUUAACCUCCCUGAAUUCUUUCAAUGGCUUCAUCAAUUAAAAAAAAGGCAACUGCUUUAGUCUUUCCUGCCUCUGGAGAAUGUUGUUAGUGUGAAAAGACCUUCAAAAGUACAACAAAGAAUGCUGUGCACAUUUAUAGUCCUUUAUUAUUCAGACUUAGGAGGCUGGGAUGAAAUAAAUAUUUAUGGAACCCAGAAGGUGACAUGGAAU
rnacentral:lncRNA from 10 species